CCAAACUUGGUCAUUUAGAGGAAGUAAAAGUCGUAACAAGGUUUCCGUAGGUGAACCUGCGGAAGGAUCAUUAGCAAAGAGGAGGAGAGUUGGAUGUGAGGGCAUAUGCAUAUGGAUGCAUAAGCAUGUGUAUGUAUAUGACUUAUGACAACUCUUAAAUAUUUUACUUGCCCGUUCAUGGAAAGAGAUAACCAUGGACAAGGAUGUGGGGCGUGUAUGUGGAUGCAUGUACAUGCUGAUAUAAACACGAUUUCAGGGUUGACUGAAUGGAGACAGGAAAGAAAGUACAACAACUUUUAACAAUGGAUCUCUUGGCUCUUGCAUCGAUGAAGAACGCAGC
rnacentral:misc_RNA from 1 species